CCCAAGGUCUUCAGCAAAGCAAAACAUCUUUCUAAUAUGCCGGGCUAGACUUGAACUGCAUAGGAUACUUACACUGCAGAUCUUUCGAAGAAAUCACUAACCAACUUUCUCCCUUUCCCUCAUUCUUCCUGCUCUUGUAAAAUGCUCCCCUACUCUCACUGGGAGUUUGGCAGGAGUUUUCAAACUCUCUGCCCUGGCUUUCAAAAUAUCCCUACAAUAGCAGAGUUGGAUUGAGACCAGCUGUUGGUGCAUUACCAUUUGUAAAUGCUUUAAAAGCAACUACUUGCUUGGCAGCAUCUCUUGUUGAAGAAAGGCGGUGGUGGUGAGGGGGCAGCAGCUCUUAUUCAGACACUAAGAACCACUGGGUGCCAGCUUUGGCACAUUUGGGCCAUUGUUUGCACAUCUCUCUCCAAGUUUCCAUAAAGAAUUGUGAGAAUCAGGGCUUGGUGCACUGGAAGAACCGAAGCAUGAAUGCUAACAUCUCACUCGGUGCAGCUGCUAGUACAAAAGGAUUAAUUUGCCAUCGACCAACUCUAAUGCCCUUCUGUUUCAUCGCCGUUCCCCCACCAGGGGCAGUGGUGGCAGCAUCUGUUCCCCUGCUUUUUUACUGGUGCCACUCGUGCCGUAACAGAGAAGGUCUGUCAGCAUUUCCAUGACAUCCAAGGCACCCGUUUACAUUGCCAAAGAUGAGACAUUGCUUUCGCAACUUGCUUAAGAAAGAAAAAUAAGAAUAUAUGUUGAAACGUAAGCCAUAAACUCAUUGUCUUGGCAGGCCAAUACCAGAAGUCUUAUAGUUGUUCUUACUCUGUUUGUGCCAUGUAUUUCUUUAUUAUUCCUGUUCAGUUUUUGUUAAAGUAAAAUGAGGCUAAAA